GUGCACCAGGCGCGAAACUUCACACUGUGCGAAAGCACGAUGAGGGAAUCCCAAGUGCUUGCACGUAAGUGUAAGCUGUUUCUCUGUCUAAAACGCAGAGAGAGUAAGGGCUGGGUAAGACGGGUGCCAGCCGCCGCGGUAAUACCUGCAGCUCAAGUGGUGACCGUUAUUAUUGGGCCUAAAACGUCCGUAGCCGGUUUAAUAAAUGCCUGGGUAAAUUGUGUAGCUUAACUAUACGAAUUCCGGGUAGACUGUUAAACUUGAGACCGGGAGAAGUUAGAGGUACUCCUGGGGUAGAGGUGAAAUUCUGUAAUCCUAGGGGACCACCAGUGGCGAAGGCGUCUAACUAGAACGGGUCUGACGGUGAGGGACGAAGCCCUGGGGCGCAAACGGGGAUUAGAUACCCGUGUAGU
rnacentral:rRNA from 1 species